UACGGAGGGUGCGAGCGUUAAUCGGAAUUACUGGGCGUAAAGCGUGCGUAGGCUGUAUGUCAAGUCAAGGGUGAAAUCCCCGGGCUCACCCCGGGAACUGCCUUUGAAACUGGCAAACUAGAGUAUGUGAGAGGGUGGCGGAAUUCCAGGUGUAGGAGUGAAAUCCGUAGAUAUCUGGAGGAACACCAGUGGCGAAGGCGGCCACCUGGCACAUAACUGACGCUGAGGUACGAAAGCGUGGGUAGCAAAC
rnacentral:rRNA from 1 species